GCUUAUGUAGCUUAACCAAAGCAUAACACUGAAGCUGUUAAGAUGAACCCUGAAAAGUUUCACAAGCA
rnacentral:tRNA from 1 species